rnacentral:lncRNA from 1 species
UUCAUUAUGUGUUUCAUCAAUUCAUUACACAUUUCUCUUGUAUCAAGUUUCAAUCUCUUUUUUCUUCCCCCGAAGAUUCUAAUUGUUGCAGUAACUCUAAUACCAGGUCUAUGUCUCCACAGUUCAUGCAUACAGCUAUCCUGUGACUGCCUUCCAAUGGCAUCCUGAGGUAUUACUGUAAUAUCGUUCAGUCUUGUCUUAAACUGUUACUAUUAAUUUCAAAUUUAGCAAUACAAGCAAACAGCACAGUAAAACAAUGCUUGAAAAUGGAAACAUCUUGAGGCUCUUAUUUGAAUAGGUGUCAUCAAGGAUCUCUGCUAUAAGAGUAUAACUGUAUAACUCACAACCUUGUGAAGGAUAAGCUGUUGUUGUGGAAUCAUGAACAAAUGGAUUUUGCUUUAUUAUCCAUCUUUAUAUGAAAGAUUUAAGACAAAGACCACAAUAACUAUUUCCACUUAAGACAUUUGUAAUGUUAAUAUAUUUGGGGUCUAAGAAAUUUUUUUGAUAAUUAUUUCCAUAAACUUGUAAAAGGAUUUGCAUUGCACAAAAAUAUUUAGGCACAUUCUACAGAUUAAGUGAAGAAUGGUAAAUUAAGAAAAAUUGAAAAGCAAAAAGACUAGAGUUUGCAUAGAAAAAAGGUCAUCUAGGACUGGGUGUAUUGUACCUAUUGCCAAUUCCAAUGGAUCUGUUUCUAAUUGUGAAGACUAACCAAAUGCAAUGCAGAAAAAUGCUUUUGAAUGGGGCUCACCAAUGAUUCCGCACUCAGAAGAUGCCAUUCAAGUGACCCAGCAUGUCGCAAACUUUUUGGUCAGGUUAGCGCUGAUGCUUUAUCCUUCUGUAUCUGUUUCUUUUAGCUCCAAGUGAACCACUAUGGUUUUUUAAUUGAACUUUGGCUGAAAUGUUGAGGAGCACUAAGAAAAACUCUUUGGGAGCGCGAAGAUGUUGCAAAGUUAGGCUCAGAGAAUCACAUUAUUCCUUUAUUCAACAUGCGGAUAUUAUGUCUAACAACAUGCGGAUAUUAUGC